CGAAUGAUGCCAAGCAGUUCUGCUCAGAGAUGGGGUGAGUGAUAUCCGGAGCUUUGCUAGAAGUGCGGCCAAAAUUCCGCCGAAACGAGGAACUGAUUUCGAAACCUCUUUGGCAGCUCUAACGCCCAUAUUACAAACUGGCAGGGAUUGAAGUGGCACUAGGUUCAUAAUAAGGCCUUAUACUCAGCAAUGCGGUGGAUGUUCAUGCAUGUAAGUUGGUCAAACGUAUCAGCAGCAGUUUGGAGCAAAGACUACAGCAGUAUUUGGGAGAACAUCUUACUUCAGCACAACAGGGAGAACAUCUUACUUCAGCAUAACAACCACAAAGAAAAAAAAUGAAAUAAAAAGGUAUUGAAGACGAGAGCAUUCAUAGCAACCACAUCACCAAGCCCCACAACGCCCAUAGAUAUGGAUAAAAAACACUGUUGCCUCUUUAUCUCUGCUGCCCUAGGUAGUACAGGAAGUCACAACCUAUCAAGAUGAAGCAAAAUUGCCUGUUGGAAAAAAUAUUACCAAAGAGGAAAUACAUCCCAGGAUUGCUCCUGCUAACAUCCUGUUAAGCAAUUGUUAUUCUACAUUCCAUGCUGUUAGCAUUUUGGAAAAACGUAAUAGCUAAAGCAGACAGACAAGGAAGUUGUGAAGGCUUUCAAAAGUUCACCACAUUUUCCAAUUUCUAACACAUUACUUCAUUAACAAGACCGGAAUUUUACUCCAUUAUUAUCCUUAUUAGGUAAUUGAACCAGAUCAACUGGCUUAAUUACCUAAUCAUAAAAUUUGGCUUAAUUUCAUUCAAAACAUUAUAGGUCUGAGAACACUGAAUAAACUCAAUAUGAAAAAACAUUUUUCUUUAGUUGAUUUGUGUCUAAACAUGAUAUCUACUAUUAGUGAACAUUUUUCUUUAGCUGAUUUGUUGAAACAUGUUAAAAGAAUGUUCGCUAAUAGUAGAUAUCAUGUCUUCAACAAUUUAAAUUCAUGCCUAACACACAAAACAUUUAUGAAGAAUGUCUCAAUUGUUAAUAUUUAUUAUUCAAAUCUGCCAUCUAUAAAAGAUGAUAAGCUUUACAAACACUACAAAAUUACUAACUAGAAUGGCAACAUAUGACCUGAUUGCAACACUGGUUUCUACUUUAUCAGCAUCUUCAUUUGCGUUAAUGCCAACACAAGAAGGGAUCUAACAUAU